UAACCAUGGCGAGGACAAGCAUUUAAAAGAUCCUUGAACCUUUCCCAGCUUUGAUAAAAAGUUCAGGAUCUUUUUAGGUAAAGUUCAUAAUCUAUUUUUUAAGUGC